GACGAACGCUGGCGGCGUGCUUAACACAUGCAAGUCGAGCGGUAAGGCCCUUUCGGGGUACGACGAGCGGCGAACGGGUAGGAGUAACAACGUGGGUGGACCUCGCCCUCCAGCUCUGGGAGUAAGCCUCGGGAAACGUAGGGUCGUAAUAACUGGAUAUAACUCCACGGUGCAUGUCGUGGGGUGGAAAGCCUUGUGCGGCUGAGGAUGGGCCCGCGGCCUAUCAGCUUGUUGGUGGGGUGAUGGCCUACCAAGGCGACGACGGGUA
rnacentral:rRNA from 1 species